UAUACAGGUAGGGGGAUAUUAUACAGAUAGCAGUAUAUUAUACAGAUAGCGGUAUAUUAUACAGAAAGGGGCAUAUUAUACAGAUAGGGCAUGUUAUACAGAGAGGAGAGUAUUAUACAGAUAGGGGGAUAUUAUACAGAUAGCGGUAUAUUAUACAGAUAGGGGGGUAUUAUACAGAUAGGGGUAUAUUAUACAGAUAGCGGGAUAUUAUACAGAUAGGGGUAUAUUAUACAGAUAGC